rnacentral:misc_RNA from 1 species
ACAAACUUGGUCAUUUAGAGGAAGUAAAAGUCGUAACAAGGUAACCGUAGGUGAACCUGCGGUUGGAUCAUUACAGUAUUUGCUGUCGCUGGACCAGUGUGUGUGGGUUGCCCACAUGAGAGGUGGGAUGUGCUGGACCAGGAAUCUCCUGGAGCAAGUCCCACCUGUCAUGUGUGCCCCAUUCCACUAUUGCCGCCGGCAGCCAAUUUCCAACCUCGUGUGCAUUGUGAUGUCUCUGGCGGUGGGAUGUUGGGCUGGGUGUUAACUUACACCCAGCCGCAUCUGUCAGCUUGAUGGUUUCGAAUCAUCAAGCCGUGGACAUGCCGCCAACCACUAGUGUCAAGCAUCUGAACCAAACCCUUUCGUCUCAUUGUGCACUUUAUGUGAAAACACAAACAACUUUUGGCAACGGAUCUCUUGGCUCUCGCAUCGAUGAAGAACGCAGC